UACGUAGGGGGCAAGCGUUGUCCGGAAUCAUUGGGCGUAAAGAGCGUGUAGGCGGCUCGGUAAGUCCGCUGUGAAAGUCCAGGGCUCAACCCUGGAAUGCCGGUGGAAACUGUCGAGCUAGAGUCCGGAAGAGGCGAGUGGAAUUCCUGGUGUAGCGGUGAAAAUGCGCAGAUAUCAGGAGGAACACCAAUGGCGAAGGCAGCUCGCUGGGACGGUACUGACGCUGAGACGCGAAAGCGUGGGGAGCAAACAGG
rnacentral:rRNA from 1 species